rnacentral:rRNA from 1 species
UACGGAGGGGCGAGCGUUAUUCGGAAUUAUUGGGCGUAAAGGGCGCGUAGGCGGCUGAACAAGUCAAAGGUGAAAUCCCUCGGCUACAACUGAGGAACUGCCUUUCGAAACUGUUCGGCUUGAGGCCGGGAGGGGGUAGCGGAAUUCCCAGUGUAGCGGUGAAAUGCGUAGAUAUUGGGAGGAACACCAGUGGCGAAGGCGGCUACCUGGACCGGUUCUGACGCUGAGGCGCGAAAGCGUGGGUAGCAAACGAGG